CUUUUUCAGAAGAAUGUUUUCCUUUUCUUUAGUUGGCAGUAUGUCUCUUCAUUUGAUGAUUAGCUGAGGAUGGUAGGUAUGGAGUCUCCUAGGUGGGUUUGGAGGAGUAGAGAAGGAAAAAGAAUUGCUGAACCUAUCCUGGAAGAGUAUCCUACUAGAUAU